GAUGAACGCUGGCGGCGUGCCUAAUACAUGCAAGUCGAGCGAAAGGACGCUAAUCUUGCGUCUUUGUUGUUUGCGGAAGACGGGUGUGUAACAUGUGGAUACUCUACCUAUCUGACUGGGAUAACUUCGGGAAACCGGAGCUAAUACCGUAUAAUCUUUUGCUCCGUAUGGUUCAAAAGUGAAUGACGGUCUUUCUGUCACUUAUCGAUGCAUCCGCGCUGCAUUAGCUAGUUGGUAAGGUAAAGGCUUAUCAAGGGAACGAGGCAUAGCCGACCUGCGGGGGGGAUCGGCGACACUAGAGCGGGGACACGGACCAGACUCCUGAGGUAGGCAGCAGUAGGGUAUCGGCCGCAAUGGGCGGAAGCCUGACGGAACAAGGGCGCGUGAGUGGUGAAGAUCUUGGGAGCGGAAAACUCGGCUAUUAGGGAAGAACAUAUGUGUAAGGAACUGAGCACAGCGUGACGGUACCUAAUCAGAAAGCCACGGCUAACUACGUG
rnacentral:rRNA from 1 species